rnacentral:ncRNA from 1 species
UCGUCAGCUCGUGUCGUGAGAUGUUUGGUCAAGUCCUAUAACGAGCGAAACCCUCGUUUUGUGUUGCUGAGACAUGCGCCUAAGGAGAAAGUCUUUGCAACCGAAGUGAGCCGAGGAGCCGA